rnacentral:lncRNA from 1 species
UCUAUCUUCCAAUAGUAAAAUAGAUUUCAAUUAGUUCAACAAGCACAGUGAUUAUUUCCAAGAUCCCAUAGGUCAAAUCUUCUGCUCCCGCUCCAAUUAUUAUUCCUAUGAUGUUUGUUAUUAACUCUAAUUUAUAAUCUUCCUUCCCAGUACCAAUUAUAAAUCGAAAUCAAUCAAGUACCAAAGAUAAUAAUACUUAAAAGCAUUAAGCACAAAUAACAAACAAUUGCAUUAACAAAAAAAUUAAUACAAGAUUCUGGAAUUGAAAUUAAAUUCAAGCUACAUCAGGUACCCUAGCUAGAAAUUUAGCUUUUCAUCAUAACAAAAUCAAACUCAAGUUUACUUGAAUAAAACUUCAAAAUCAUCCUAACAAUGAGUUUUAGAAAAUAAAUUCAAAGUAAACAAGAGAAAGAAAAAACUCUGAAGGAAUUGCAGAGCCGAAUGAAUCUUCUCUUCAAAUCUUCCAGAUACUCCAAACUCUCCUUGCUUGAUUUCUAGCUUUCAAAAAUGAUUCUCCUCCUCUUGCUGGUGUUUUAGGAUCCUUAAAUAGGGCUAGGGCUAGGGUUAAGAUGGUAUUUUUUUUCAUAAUUUUAUUCUAUAUAUCAUUCUUUCUAUUUGGUAUAGAAUCUCUCCUCCUUUGGAUAGGCUUUAAGCAACCACCAGCCAUCUACUCCUUAUGCUGCCCAAAUUUUCUGAUUUUAUUAUGAUUUCCAUAAUAAAAAAAGGAAAGGAGGCAUGGUUAAUUAGAGGAGAAAAAUUUCUUCCUUCCUGGGUCCACAAAAUCUGCAAAAUAAAGUAAGGUUUCGGCUGCCCAAAUCAAGUUUUUCAAGAAUUGGUUCCAAUUCUUUCUAAGUUUGCUCCUCAUGCAAAAUUAG